CAGCAGCCACGGUAACACGUAGGUGGCAAGCGUUGUUCGGAGUUAUUGGGCGUAAAGGGCUCGCAGGCGGUUUCUUAAGUCUGAUGUGAAAGCCCCCGGCUCAACCGGGGAGGAUCAUUGGAAACUGGGAAACUUGAGUGCAGAAGAGGAGAGUGGAAUUCCACGUGUAGCGGUGAAAUGCGUAGAGAUAUGGAGGAACACCAGUGGCGAAGGCGACUCUCUGGUCUGUAACUGACGCUGAGGAGCGAAAGCGUGGGGAGCGAACAGGAUUAGAUACCCCAGUAGUCCCUGUCUCUUAUAA
rnacentral:rRNA from 1 species